rnacentral:lncRNA from 1 species
AUGUCCGUGUGAGGGUUCAAGGCCAAGCUGAGGUUGUUGGCCUCUAUCUUCCACAAGAACCAGGAGCCGCCGCCGCAGCUCACGCUCCACUGCAACAUCACGGAAUCCUAUUCAUCUUCUUCACCGAUAUGGUUUGUGGACUCUGAUGAGCCAAAUCUGACAUCAGUUCUGGAACGUCUAGAAGAUACUAAGGACAACAGUUCGG